GAGAGAGAGAGGGGUAGAGAUUUGGGCUGUAAAGGUUAAAUACUUCCGUCCAAUAACAAAGGAGGAGGAGGAGACAUACUGAGCUGAAGAGAGAUUCAAGAGAGAGAAUAGAAUGAACCCAUUAAAGCUCUGUUGCCUUCAAUCCUUUCUCUAAUGGACCACACACACACCGCACCGAAUUUUCAACUGCCACUCGUCUGCCGUCCAUCUGCUGUUCGUUCGGUGCUGUGUGUUUAACACCGGAACCGCUGGGCCUCGAGGUGGCCCCCUUUGAGCUAAUGAGCAUUCUGACUGCAACAUCCUAAUAGUGUAAUUACUACGUUUCAUAUAUGCUAUUGCAAAAACAGCCAUUAGGUUUCGUUUAUGAAGGUCUUGCGUAACAUUAAUACCAGAACCUGUUCCCCUACAUUUUCUUCAAAUGACACAAAUAACACCAUAGCAGUUUAUGUUAGUGUAUGUUACUGUAGGGUAUACAACUAUGUGUUACAACUAUGUGUUGGAACAUGGUAAAAACUUAUUUUUAUUAUAACGUCAAAAUAAAACAAUAUAGCAAGACUUGCGAUCAAAUUAUGAAAUCAUUCAUAGCCUAAACAUCAUUAUAAGCGCCAAGUGUGCUUGAUAAAUAGUACAAAUCUGCACAAAAGCAAUAAUGGCAUUAUAAUGAAUAUAACUGCAGAUAUGACAGCAGUCAAAAAUAGUCAAUGAUUGUCUGCUUUUGGUAAAAUGUCACAUAAACAACGAAAGCUUGUGAGUGCGUUGCUGUUGUAGGGCCUGAUCUCUCAGUGAUGGCAUUUUGUUGUGCUCAUAAUCAACAAUACUGUAGCAUUGUCACCAGCUUGUUCUAUUCAAAUGGUGCCGUCCUUCCUCUCUCCUGUCUCACCAUUUAAUUCGGUGGUGGCGCGGGCACCUGCUCAGUGCGCACCGUUCUGGCUUUUAGAGCUUAGGCCUCGGAGGUUCAGACAGGAUCAGAAUCAGAAGAAUAAUCAUCAGAGGUGUCGACUCAUUUCGGUAUAGUUUUGGUUCAGUUGCUAGGAAACUAUAGGGGUGAUUAUAAACUGGGCACGUCACCUUCAACUGUCUGGAGAAGGAGGUGAGCAGGCCCUACUGUCGGGAGAAGGAGGUGAGCAGGCCCUACUGUCGGGAGAAGGAGGUGAGCAGGCCCUACUGUCGGGAGAAGGAGGUGAGCAGGCCCUACUGUCGGGAGAAGGAGGUGAAGAAGGCCCUACUGUCGGGAGAAGGAGGUGAGCAGGCCCUACUGUCGGGAGAAGGAGGUGAAGAAGGCCCUACUGUCGGGAGAAGGAGGUGAAGAAGGCCCUACUGUCGGGAGAAGGAGCUGAGCAGGCCCUACUGUCGGGAGAAGGAGCUGAGCAGGCCCUACUGUCGGGAGAAGGAGGUGAGCAGGCCCUACUGUCGGGAGAAGGAGGUGAAGAAGGCCCUACUGUCGGGAGAAGGAGUGCAGCAGGCCCUACUGUCGGGAGAAGGAGGUGAAGAAGGCCCUACUGUCGGGAGAAGGAGCUGAGCAGGCCCUACUGUCGGGAGAAGGAGGUGAGCAGGCCCUACUGUCGGGAGAAGGAGGUGAGCAGGCCCUACUGUCGGGAGAAGGAGGUGAGCAGGCCCUACUGUCGGGAGAAGGAGGUGAAGAAGGCCCUACUGUCGGGAGAAGGAGGUGAGCAGGCCCUACUGUCGGGAGAAGGAGGUGAGCAGGCCCUACUGUCGGGAGAAGGAGGUGAAGAAGGCCCUACUGUCGGGAGAAGGAGCUGAGCAGGCCCUAGUGUCGGGAGAAGGAGCUGAGCAGGCCCUACUGUCGGGAGAAGGCCCUACUGUCGGGAGAAGGAGCUGAGCAGGCCCUACUGUCGGGAAAAGGAGCUGAGCAGGCCCUACUGUCGGGAAAAGGAGCUGAGCAGGCCCUACUGUCGGGAGAAGGAGCUGAGCAGGCCCUACUGUCGGGAGAAGGAGCUGAGCAGGCCCUACUGUCGGGAGAAGGAGCUGAGCAGGCCCUACUGUCGGGAAAAGGAGCUGAGCAGGCCCUACUGUCGGGAAAAGGAGCUGAGCAGGCCCUACUGUCGGGAGAAGGAGCUGAGCAGGCCCUACUGUCGGGAAAAGGAGCUGAGCAGGCCCUACUGUCGGGAGAAGGAGCUGAGCAGGCCCUACUGUCGGGAGAAGGAGGUGAGCAGGCCCUACUGUCGGGAGAAGGAGGUGAAGAAGGCCCUACUGUCGGGAGAAGGAGGUGAGCAGGCCCUACUGUCGGGAGAAGGAGGUGAAGAAGGCCCUACUGUCGGGAGAAGGAGGUGAAGAAGGCCCUACUGUCGGGAGAAGGAGCUGAGCAGGCCCUACUGUCGGGAGAAGGAGGUGAAGAAGGCCCUACUGUCGGGAGAAGGAGCUGAGCAGGCCCUACUGUCGGGAAAAGGAGCUGAGCAGGCCCUACUGUCGGGAGAAGGAGGUGAGCAGGCCCUACUGUCGGGAGAAGGAGGUGAGCAGGCCCUACUGUCGGGAGAAGGAGGUGAGCAGGCCCUACUGUCGGGAGAAGGAGGUGAAGAAGGCCCUACUGUCGGGAGAAGGAGGUGAAGAAGGCCCUACUGUCGGGAGAAGGAGGUGAAGAAGGCCCUACUGUCGGGAGAAGGAGGUGAAGAAGGCCCUACUGUCGGGAGAAGGAGGUGAAGAAGGCCCUACUGUCGGGAGAAGGAGGUGAAGAAGGCCCUACUGUCGGGAGAAGGAGGUGAAGAAGGCCCUACUGUCGGGAGAAGGAGGUGAAGAAGGCCCUACUGUCGGGAGAAGGAGGUGAAGAAGGCCCUACUGUCGGGAGAAGGAGGUGAAGAAGGCCCUACUGUCGGGAGAAGGAGGUGAAGAAGGCCCUACUGUCGGGAGAAGGAGGUGAAGAAGGCCCUACUGUCGGGAGAAGGAGGUGAAGAAGGCCCUACUGUCGGGAGAAGGAGGUGAAGAAGGCCCUACUGUCGGGAGAAGGAGGUGAAGAAGGCCCUACUGUCGGGAGAAGGAGGUGAAGAAGGCCCUACUGUCGGGAGAAGGAGCAGCAAUGAGGGAAAACAAUACAAAAAAUGAUGUGCCCUCCUAAAACUGGUUCUGUUUUUGAUAUUAACAUUAUUACAACAACAGUGUGUUAUAUACACCGAGUGUACAAAAUGCUAGGAACACCACCUUCCUAACAUUGAGUUGCACCCUCUUUUGCCCUCAGAACAGCCUCAAUUCGUUGGGGCAUGGACUCUACAAGCUGUCGAAAGCGUACCCAUGUUGACUCCAAUGCUUCCCACAGUUGUGUCAAGUUGGCUGGAUGCCCUUUGAGUGGUGGACCUUUCUUUAUACACACAGGAAACUGUAGAGCGUGAAAAACCCAGCAGCGUUGUAGUUCUUGACACACUCAAAUCGGUGCGCCUGGCACCUACUACCAUACCUCGUUCAAAGGUAGUUAAAUAUUUUGUCUUGCUCAUUCACCCUCUGAAUGGCACACAUACACAAUCCAUGUCUCAAUUGUCUAAAGGCUUAAAAAUCCUUCUUUAACCUGUCUCAUCCCCUUCGUCUAAGGUGAUUGAAGGGGAUUUAACAAGUGUCACCAAUAAGGGCUCAUAGCUUUCACCUGCAUUCACCUGGUCAGUCUAUGUCGUGAAAAGAGCAGGUGUUCUUAAUGUUUUGUACACUCAGUGUAUACUUAUUUAGAAAAAGUAAAGGAUGGAGGGAAGGACAUAAUAAAUACCACAGUAAUAAUUCAUUCAUUAAUGAGCAGUCCAAAUGACAUGCUAUAGCGGUCUAGUGUUAAGGGCCCCCGACUGACUGACGUAAUUUUCGCACGAUUCUAAACGUGGAAUCGGUUUGCACUUGGUUUGCAAAUUACUUGCUACUAAGCUGGAGGCCCUGUGUCUCAACCCGGCCCUGUGCAAUUGGGUCCAGGACUUUCUGAUGGGUCGCCCCCAGGUGGUGAAGGUAGGAAACAACAUCUCCACUUCGCUGACCCUCAACACUGGGGCCACACAAGGGUGCAUGCUCAUCCCCCUCCUGUACUCCCUGUUCACUCACGACUGCGUGGCCAUGCAGACGACACAACAGUAGUGGGCUUGAUUACCAACAAUGACAAGACAGCCUACAGGGUGUAGAUGAGGGCACACAGAGUGUGGUGUCAGGAAAACAACCUCUCACUCAACGUCAACAAAACAAAGGAGAUGAUCGUGGACUUCACAGCAGAGGGAGC